rnacentral:rRNA from 1 species
UCGAACAGGAUUAGAUACCCUGAUAGUCCACACCGUAAACGUUGGGCGCUAGGUGUGGGACUCAUUCCACGAGUUCCGUGCCGCAGCUAACGCAUUAAGCGCCCCGCCUGGGGAGUACGGCCGCAAGGCUAAAACUCAAAGGAAUUGACGGGGGCCCGCACAAGCGGCGGAGCAUGUUGCUUAAUUCGAUGCAACGCGAAGAACCUUACAAUCACUAGU